rnacentral:rRNA from 1 species
GACGAACGCUGGCGGCGUGCCUAAUACAUGCAAGUCGAGCGCAGCGGGGACGGGUGAGUAAGACGGGGAUAACCUCCUUUAAGUAUGCAACAACGUCGGGAAACAGGAGCAAAACUGGAUACUUAUGUGUCGCCCCGCGCUGCAUUCGCUGGUUGGUAAGGUAAUGGCUUACCAAGGCAACGAUGCAUAGCCGACCUGAGAGGGUGAUCGGCCACACUGGAACUGAGACACGGCCCAGACUCCUACGGGAGGCAGCAGUAGGGAAUCUUCCGCAAUGGGCGAAAGCCUGACGGAGCAACGCCGCGUGAGUGAAGAAGGUCUUCGGAUCGUAAAACUCUGUUAUUAGAGAAGCGGUACCUAAUCAGAAAGCCACGGCUAACUACGUGCCAGCAGCCGCGGUAAUUC